UACGAAGGGUGCUAGCGUUGUUCGGAAUUACUGGGCGUAAAGCGCGCGUAGGCGGCUUUUCAAGUCAGGGGUGAAAUCCUUGGGCUCAACCCAAGAAUUGCCUUUGAAACUGUAAAGCUGGAGUGUCGGAGGGGAUAGCGGAAUUCCUAAUGUAGAGGUGAAAUUCGUAGAUAUUAGGAGGAACACCGGUGGCGAAGGCGGCUAUCUGGACGACAACUGACGCUGAGGCGCGAAAGCACGGGGAU
rnacentral:rRNA from 1 species